ACUAUUUUGGCAGAAAAGUGCAAUGGAUUUAGAAUCUAUAAAUGUAAUUUAUUAUUACAGAUAGUA
rnacentral:tRNA from 1 species